UCAAGAGGAAGAAGAGAGCCUUAAUUGCACGAGCUUUUCAAAUCUUUAAGUUGAACUUCGUCAACACAUCAUCAGCUCAUUAAGGAGCUUGAGUUUGUAUUUAAUUUUUUUAAUUCAAAUUUUCAUAUAUAACAAGUUUUAAUUGGGAUUGAAACUUGUGGAUAGGCUCAUCCAAGUCUGAAAUUGAAGUUAUACAAGUCUAGGAGUAGUUUGGGGAU
rnacentral:lncRNA from 1 species